CUACGGGAGGCAGCAGGNGGGAAUUUUGGACAAUGGGCGAAAGCCUGAUCCAGCCAUGCCGCGUGAGUGAAGAAGGCCUUCGGGUUGUAAAGCUCUUUUAGUCGGAAAGAAAGAGUGCAAUGAAUAA
rnacentral:rRNA from 1 species